UAAGCCUGUGAAGGUGUGUCGUGAGGCAUGCUGGAGGUAUCAGAAGUGCGAAUGCUGACAUAAGUAACGAUAAAGCGGGUGAAAAGCCCGCUCGCCGGAAGACCAAGGGUUCCUGUCCAACGUUAAUCGGGGCAGGGUGAGUCGACCCCUAAGGCGAGGCCGAAAGGCGUAGUCGAUGGGAAACGGGUUAAUAUUCCCGUACUUGGUGUUACUGCGAAGGGGGGACGGAGAAGGCUAUGUUGGCCGGGCGACGGUUGUCCCGGUUUAAGCGUGUAGGUGUGUGUUCCAGGUAAAUCCGGUUCACUUUAACACUGAGGCGUGACGACGAGGCACUACGGUGCUGAAGCAACAAAUGCCCUGCUUCCAGGAAAAGCCUCUAAGCAUCAGGUAACAUCAAAUCGUACCCCAAACCGACACAGGUGGUCAGGUAGAGAAUACCAAGGCGCUUGAGAGAACUCGGGUGAAGGAACUAGGCAAAAUGGUGCCGUAACUUCGGGAGAAGGCACGCUGACACGUAGGUGAAGUGAUUUACUCAUGGAGCUGAAGUCAGUCGAAGAUACCAGCUGGCUGCAACUGUUUAUUAAAAACACAGCACUGUGCAAACACGAAAGUGGACGUAUACGGUGUGACGCCUGCCCGGUGCCGGAAGGUUAAUUGAUGGGGUCAGCGCAAGCGAAGCUCCUGAUCGAAGCCCCGGUAAACGGCGGCCGUAACUAUAACGGUCCUAAGGUAGCGAAAUUCCUUGUCGGGUAAGUUCCGACCUGCACGAAUGGCGUAAUGAUGGCCAGGCUGUCUCCACCCGAGACUCAGUGAAAUUGAACUCGCUGUGAAGAUGCAGUGUACCCGCGGCAAGACGGAAAGACCCCGUGAACCUUUACUAUAGCUUGACACUGAACAUUGAGCCUUGAUGUGUAGGAUAGGUGGGAGGCUUUGAAGUGUGGACGCCAGUCUGCAUGGAGCCGACCUUGAAAUACCACCCUUUAAUGUUUGAUGUUCUAACGUGGACCCGUGAUCCGGGUUGCGGACAGUGUCUGGUGGGUAGUUUGACUGGGGCGGUCUCCUCCUAAAGAGUAACGGAGGAGCACGAAGGUUGGCUAAUCCUGGUCGGACAUCAGGAGGUUAGUGCAAUGGCAUAAGCCAGCUUGACUGCGAGCGUGACGGCGCGAGCAGGUGCGAAAGCAGGUCAUAGUGAUCCGGUGGUUCUGAAUGGAAGGGCCAUCGCUCAACGGAUAAAAGGUACUCCGGGGAUAACAGGCUGAUACCGCCCAAGAGUUCAUAUCGACGGCGGUGUUUGGCACCUCGAUGUCGGCUCAUCACAUCCUGGGGCUGAAGUAGGUCCCAAGGGUAUGGCUGUUCGCCAUUUAAAGUGGUACGCGAGCUGGGUUUAGAACGUCGUGAGACAGUUCGGUCCCUAUCUGCCGUGGGCGCUGGAGAACUGAGGGGGGCUGCUCCUAGUACGAGAGGACCGGAGUGGACGCAUCACUGGUGUUCGGGUUGUCAUGCCAAUGGCACUGCCCGGUAGCUAAAUGCGGAAGAGAUAAGUGCUGAAAGCAUCUAAGCACGAAACUUGCCCCGAGAUGAGUUCUC
rnacentral:rRNA from 1 species